GAAUUGAGGGGGGCUGCUCCUAGUACGAGAGGACCGGAGUGGACGCAUCACUGGUGUUCGGGUUGUCAUGCCAAUGGCACUGCCCGGUAGCUAAAUGCGGAAGAGAUAAGUGCUGAAAGCAUCUAAGCACGAAACUUGCCCCGAGAUGAGUUCUCCCUGAGACUUUAAGUCUCCUGAAGGAACGUUGAAGACGACGACGUUGAUAGGCCGGGUGUGUAAGCGCAGCGAUGCGUUGAGCUAACCGGUACUAAUGAACCGUGAGGCUUAACCUUACAACGCCGAAG
rnacentral:rRNA from 1 species